rnacentral:rRNA from 1 species
GACGUAGGGCGCGAGCGUUGUCCGGAUUUAUUGGGCGUAAAGAGCUCGUAGGCGGCUUGUCGCGUCGGCUGUGAAAUCCCGUGGCUCAACUGUGGGCGGGCAGCUGAUACGGGCAGGCUGGAGUUCGGUAGGGGAGACUGGAAUUCCUGGUGUAGCGGUGAAAUGCGCAGAUAUCAGGAGGAACACCGGUGGCGAAGGCGACUACCUGGCCUGUUCUUGACGCUGAGGCGCGAAAGCUAGGGGAGCAAACGGG